AGCCUCUCGAUCGCUGGGGAAUCGGGCGAGAUCACCAAGUCGUGCAGAUCGUGCGUGUGGUCAGCAGAGCAAGGAAGUUGGCGGGGGAGACGAAUUGCUUGCCGGUGCUUGGCCGAAUCCUCACCGGGAAUCCUCGGGCGGCACUACAGCGUCGACCGGCCGCAUCGACGUCUUCUCGAGUGGUGAGACCCUACUAAAUUACUCGCCGUAGCAUCCGCAUAGAUGAUCCCCAUUCAAUUUCCGAAUUUAGACCUAGAAAUCGGCAGGGUUGGUUCGCCACCAAUGGCGACAUCGUGCCUUCGCGUUCUGUCGCCGGUCGGGCGCCGUGGUGAGAGAGAGAGGAUUGGGGGGGAGAAAAAUGAAGGGCUUGGGCUGUUGGAUCAUACACGGAUGGCACCGAUCUAAGCGCGCAUACCCCUUCGCUCAAUAGGAUUUGGGCCGUAGAUCUGAGAUCAAGCGAUCAGGAUUUGAUCAUAGUCAUUCUUAAUCUGGACUGACGAUCUUUAAUCCGGUGGUCCUCAUGGCUUACCGGUUCAUUUUUAAUGAAGUCUAAUCCUGGCCGCGGAAUUUAGAUCUGACGGCUGAAGUCAGCCCGUACCCCUUCGGCCGGGGAUAAUUGCACGUGAGCCCUCAUAAAACUAUCAAAUAAACCCGCCGUCCACUCACGUGGAAAACUAAUUAAAUCUAGGUCCUGAGUUUCACAGUUUAGACCCUGUGUUUUCUAGAAAUUGUGUUCGCAGGCCAGAAUUAAUAGGGAUAUUCAUAAUUAAAUCAGAAAAUGAUUUUUUUAUAAAAAUAAAUCUAGGAACUUGUUUAAUUCAUAGUUAAUUCAUUUUAGCUCCGGAUUGAGUUAUUCCAGUUGCAAUAAUUUUGUUUUAAUAUUAUCUAUCAUCUAGUGCUUCUGUUUAGCCAUAAAACUUGAAUUAAAAAUGUUCAUUUGAAUUAAUCUAUUCUAGGUGCUUAACAACUCCAGAAAUUCAUAACUUGUUAACCGUAACUCCGAAUUUAGUAAUUCUUGUUCCUAUGAUCUCGUUACGCAGCUUAGAAUAUUAUUAUGUAGUUUGAUCUUAUAUUUGGUGUGAUGUUAAUUUUGCAUAUACAUGUUUGUCUGUAUUACUACGUUUAGCAGUGAGGACACGAGUUACCUGAAGAUCAUCCUGGUACCUGGAAUCUCAAGUCCCAGGCAAGUUGUGCCCUUGAUCACUUCUUUUUACCCAGUCAUGUUCUGAUUAAUCAUAAUGAUCUGCAUAUGUUAAUUUUGAUGGGACCCAAUAGGUUACCCUAGUUUGAUUAUCUUUAUACCUUGAUUACCACUGGACUUUUUGGGUAGUACCUGCUAUUGCUUUAUGUGGUUUUGGGUAUGAAGAUUACAUUAUUCAUGAUUACACUUUUGUUAUUAGUUGUUAUUUACUAUUCAUGAUAAGAUCAUUAUGUUAAUUGGAACAUGGAGAACCACCCGGGAAAACAGUGCUACCACAAGGGUUUAUGGACGCCCUUGGCUGAUUAACUAGGAAAGCUAGUGGAGGUCUUCCUUACCCGAAAGGGGCAAGGGCAGUAGGGGAGUGGUCAGUGUAGGGAGGUCCUUGGUUGAUUUUGCUGCGAUGGCGGUCAGGCAAGAACCCUGCAUUGGAGCUUCCUAUAAACUGUAGCGGGAUUUCUGAAGCUAGUGGAACUUUGUAAAGGCCUCGUAGUGUUACCCUGCCUCGCCUCCUCGGUAGAGGUGUAUGGGAUUGGCCGUCUCUUGGCAGAUGGGUAACAUGACUUGUGCGUAAAGAUGUGCAACCUCUACGGAGUGUAAAACUGGUAUACUAGCCGUGCUCACGGUCAUGAGCGGCUCGGACACUCACAUGAUUAAAUUAUGGAACUUAAACUCAAUUUGUCAUAUGCAUUGCAUCGCAGGUGAGGUUGUUACUUUUGUUCUACUAAAUUGGGAUGGUAUUUACUUAUACUUAGUAAUUGCUAAUAAAAUUUUGACCAACUUUAAAAGCAAUGCUCAGCUCUAACCAUCCUCUUUGGUAAGCUUACACUUCACGUGAGCUCCCACCUUUGGCGAGUUCAUGCACAUUAUUCCCCACAACUUGUUGAGCGAUGAACGUAUGUGAGCUCACUCUUGCUGUCUCACACCCCCCACAGGUCAAGAACAGGUACCACAGGAUGAGGCGCUUGGAGGAUGCUGUGACGAGUUCGUGAGAGGUCUAGGUCGUCGUCUCCCAGUCAACUUUGGGUUGCUGGACCGUUGUCUCCAUAUAAUGUAUUUAUUUAUUUAUUUUGUACAAAACUCCGAUUAUAUAGUAAAGAUGUGACAUUCGAUCCUGUGCCAUGAUUCAUCAUAUGUGUGAGACUUGGUCCCAGCACACCUGGUGAUUAUGUUCGCGCCCGGGUCUUGGUGCCCCGAAACCCGGGUGUGACAGAAGUGGUAUCAGAGGAAUGUUGACUGUAGGACGUAACCUAGAUAGAACUGGACAACCAUUGUCUACUUACCUUUGCUACUCUGAUUCUUUUCUAAACUUAUCUUAAUCUUUUCUCAUCCAUUUCCGCUUUACUCUGAUUAUUCUUACCUUUUUCUUCUAAAGACAAAUGUGGAUUUCACACUCUGAAAUCCUGUACCUAAAGUGACUUUUAGGAAUAGGAGACUUAAUCUUAGGAACAAAAAAACAAAACUAUUUUUUUAUCUAUACGCUUGAAUGUUUGUUCUUAUGAUAUUUGUCUGAUUUGGAUCUUUGAUUGAGUGUGAUGGGUUGUGGAGUAAUGUCCACAAUUACAUCUGCAUAUACAUAUAGGGAAAAAUGCUUAUAAAAAUAACUAGAUAAACUAGAUUAUCCCUCAUUAAAGGAUCUAGCCAAACAAUAUCCAUCUCAUCUUAAAAGAUUCUAUCCUACACUCGUAGAUCCAUCUUAUCUUAAGAAGAUACUCAUCUUAUCUUGAAAAGAUUUUAUGUCAUGCUAAUAGAUCUAACUGAUCUCAAAUGAUUCUAUCUUAUCUUUAUGGAUCCAUCUUAUCCUAACAAGCAUACUUACCCACCCUAGUUUAACAACCAUGAUCUAAUGCAAAUUAAUUAGAUCUUAUCUAGUCAAACUAGUCAUACCAAUCUAAUCUAGAUCCCAUCUAAUCUAAUAUGAUCUAAUCUAAUGUGGUCUAUUUAAACAGAUUAGUGAUACUGGUAGAAGAGAUUAAACCCUACUAGCCAGGUAUUAACUUAACUUCGCACAUUAGACCAACUCAACCAUGGGCAUAAGAUCUAACCUAGCCAAUAGAGUCUUGAUGGAUUGCAUAAUCUAUCUAUCUCCACCUAACCUCAAACAAACUUUUGACCUACAUCAAUCUCACCCAUAUCUAUCUUAACCAUACCCUGGUAACUCCGAUGAUAAACGCUGACCCCGACUCAAUGAGACCAAGACCAGAAAAGAACAAGAUCAACCUCGUCAAGGAAGGAGAGAAGUCAAACUCGAUCUUCAGAUGCAUUACCACCCAACAAGGAGUCCUUUCUCACCAUAAACUGUCUUACCCCUAGCUAUUGUUUCCCUAACCUAUCCAUCUCUUAUAUCCUACAUAAUAGGUGGCUAGAAACCCAUGCUUUCCUAAAUACCUAUUUAUUUGUAUAAAAAAAACUUUUCAAUAUUGAACUAAAAGACAAUUACAAACAAAACUUUCUACACCUCUUUCUUACAAAUCUCGAGGACGAGAUUUUUGUUAAGGGGGGUAGGAUUUGUAAAGCCCUAAAAUUGCGUAAGAUAAAAAAAUGAUAAAAUAAAUAAAUACAUAUAUAAAAUUGUUUUGGGAACACAGAACCUUGGGAGACUAUCAAUUUAUUUAUCAAUAGGUUAUACCCUUCAUGAACAAUAUAAAUAGAAACCAUCUUUUAAUCAAGCUAAUAGUAAUUAAUGAUAAAGUUUGGACAUUACUUCCUCUAAAAUAAGUAGUAAAUAUGCACUUUUGAAUCGACCUUUAAUUUUACAACACCUUCAAAUAAUAUUUUUCUAAAAGAAAGAUAGCGUGUGUACUUCAUAUUUGAAACAAUUGUCUAAUUAAUAAAUAAAACAAUAAAUGUAAAUAUAUAUCUACAUAUAUUUGCAUUCAUGCGGGAGUUUGAUUGUGCAUUUUUAAGUAUGUGUCAAAUCCAAAACUAAUUUUGAAUUCUAUUCGAAUUUGGAAUUGUAAGUUAAGAAAAUGAUAAAAAUAUAGAUGAAGAGAGAACAAACCGGUUUGACCCAAUCUCACUCACGUGGCCUACAUUCUCUUCUCUCUCCCCAUAACCCGUCUUGUUUCUUUCCAUUUAUAAUUCUUGUACAAACUACUGGUAACUGCCGGGGACGUAUGUUCCUUCCAUGUCAGACACCGACAUGUGGGGCACCCUGCAUACGAGCACGAACGCUGAACCAUCCCAGAAAAAUCGUCGGUGCCUGUAACAACCGCGUAACAACCGGGCAUGAGCCGACAGAUGGCGUUACAGGUUUAUAAAACCCGAUCCCCAUGUGCCUUCCGCCAUAACCAGGCUUGGGAGCUAGCGCAACCUUGCAUGGAUGAUUACGCUGAAGCACAGCGACGAGUAGGAGAGAGAGAAUAGAGCCGCUACGACCACGCCUCGCGUUCACCAUCGCCCAGCCUCUCGAUCGCUGGGGAAUCGGGCGAGAUCACCAAGUCGUGCAGAACGUGCGUGUGGUCAGCAGAGCAAGGAAGUUGGCGGGGGAGACGAAUUGCUUGCCGGUGCUUGGCCGAAUCCUCACCGGGAAUCCUCGGGCGGCACUGCAGCGUCGACCGGCCGCAUCGACGUCUUCUCGAGUGGUGAGACCCUACUAAAUUACUCGCCGUAGCAUCCGCAUAGAUGAUCCCCAUUCAAUUUCCGAAUUUAGACAUAGAAAUCGGCAGGGUUGGUUCGCCACCAAUGGCGACGUCGUGCCUUCGUGUUCUGUCGCCGGUCGGGCGCCGUGGUGAGAGAGAGAGAGGAUUGGGGGGGAGAAAAAUGAAGGGCUUGGGCUGUUGGAUCAUACACGGACGGCGCCGAUCUAACCGCGCAUACCCCUUCGCUCAAUAGGAUUUGGGCCGUAGAUCUGAGAUCAAGCGAUCAGGAUUUGAUCAUAGUCAUUCUUAAUCUGGACUGACGAUCUUUAAUCCGGUGGUCCUCAUGGCUGACCGGAUCAUUUUUAAUGAAGUCUAAUCCUGGCCGCGGAAUUUAGAUCUGACGGCUGAAGUCAGCCCGUACCCCUUCGGCCGGGGAUAAUUGCACGUGAGCCCUCAUAAAACUAUCAAAUAAACCCGUCGUCCACUCACGUGGAAAACUAAUUAAAUCUAGGUCCUGAGUUUCACAGUUUAGACCCUGUGUUUUCUAGAAAUUGUGUUCGCAGGCCAGAAUUAAUAGGGAUAUUCAUAAUUAAAUCAGAAAAUGAUUUUUUUAUAAAAAUAAAUCUAGGAACUUGUUUAAUUCAUAGUUAAUUCAUUUUAGCUCCAGAUUGAGUUAUUCCAGUUGCAAUAAUUUUGUUUUAAUAUUAUCUAUCAUCUAGUGCUUCUGUUUAGCCAUAAAACUUGAAUUAAAAAUGUUCAUUUGAAUUAAUCUAUUCUAGGUGCUUAACAACUCCAGAAAUUCAUAACUUGUUAACCGUAACUUCGAAUUUAGUAAUUCUUGUUCCUAUGAUCUCGUUAUGCAGCUUAGAAUAUUAUUAUGUAGUUUGAUCUUAUAUUUGGUGUGAUGUUAAUUUUGCAUAUACAUGUUUGUCUGUAUUGCUACGUUUAGCAGUGAGGACACGAGUUACCUGAAGAUCAUCUUGGUACCUGGAAUCUCAAGUCCCAGGCAAGUUGUGCCCUUGAUCACUUCUUUUUACCCAGUCAUGUUCUGAUUAAUCAUAAUGAUCUGCAUAGGUUAAUUUUGAUGGGACCCAAUAGGUUACCCUAGUUUGAUUAUCUUUAUACCUUGAUUACCACUGACUUUUUGGGUAGCACCUGCUAUUGCUUUAUGUGGUUUUGGGUAUGAAGAUUACAUUAUUCAUGAUUACACUUUUGUUAUUAGUUGUUAUUUACUAUUCAUGAUAAGAUCAUUAUGUUAAUUGGAACAUGGAGAACCACCCGGGAAAACAGUGCUACCACAAGUGUUUAUGGACGCCCUUGGCUGAUUAACUAGGAAAGCUAGUGGAGGUCUUCCUUACCCGAAAGGGGCAAGGGCAGUAGGGGAGUGGUCACUGUAGGGAGGUCCUUGGUUGAUUUUGCUGCGAUGGCGGUCAGGCAAGAACCCUGCAUUGGAGCUUCCUAUAAACUGUAGCGGGAUUUCUGAAGCUAGUGGAACUUUGUAAAGGCCUCGUAGUGUUACCCUGCCUCGCCUCCUCGGUAGAGGUGUAUGGGAUUGGCCGUCUCUUGGCAGAUGGGUAACAUGACUUGUGGGUAAAGAUGUGCAACCUCUGCAGAGUGUAAAACUGGUAUACUAGCCGUGCUCACGGUCAUGAGCGGCUCGGACACUCACAUGAUUAAAUUAUGGAACUUAAACUCAAUUUGUCAUAUGCAUUGCAUCGCAGGUGAGGUUGUUACUUUUGUUCUACUAAAUUGGGCUGGUAUUUACUUAUACUUAGUAAUUGCUAAUAAAAUUUUGACCAACUUUAAAAGCAAUGCUCAGCUCUAACCAUCAUCUUUGGUAAGCCUUACACUUCACGUGAGCUCCCACCUUUGGCGAGUUCAUGCACAUUAUUCCCCACAACUUGUUGAGCGAUGAACGUAUGUGAGCUCACUCUUGCUGUCUCACACCCCCCCCACAGGUCAAGAAUAGGUACCAUAGGAUGAGGCGCUUGGAGGAUGCUGUGACGAGUUCGUGAGAGGUCUAGGUCGUCGUCUCCCAGUCAACUUUGGGUUGCCGGACCGUUGUCUCCAUAUAAUGUAUUUAUUUAUUUAUUUUGUACAAAACUCCAAUUAUAUAGUAAAGAUGUGACAUUCGAUCAUGUGCCA
rnacentral:lncRNA from 1 species